rnacentral:rRNA from 1 species
CGAUUAAUCUAUGAAAACUUUUAUAUUAUUGAAUAAAAAUAAUUUAAAGUUAAAGUAAAAAUUCUUUAAUUUAUUAAAAAGACGAUAAGACCCUAAAAGCUUUAUUUCUCAAUAUGUUUUUAAUUUUAUAUAUAAUUUAAACAUUUUUUAGAUUUUUAACUGGGGUAGUUAUAUUAUUUUUAUUAUUUAAAAUUAGGCUAAUAGGUUAUAAGAACCUUAAAAUUAGGGUGUUGUUUUAGUUACUUUAGGGAUAACAGCGUAAUAAUUUUGGAGAGAACAUAUCUAUAAAAUUGAUUGCGACCUCGAUGUUGAAUUAAUUAAUUCUUAUUAAAGCAGUU